UGCAUAUUAGCUCAAUUGGUAUAGCUUUGUGCAUUUGCACAAUGAUGUAGGUUCGAAUCCUACAUAGACAA
rfam:Spinacia oleracea cultivar SynViroflay scaffold11977.con0005.1, whole genome shotgun sequence.